rnacentral:rRNA from 1 species
UACGAAGGGUGCAAGCGUUACUCGGAAUUACUGGGCGUAAAGCGUGCGUAGGUGGUUCGUUAAGUCUGUCGUGAAAGCCCCGGGCUCAACCUGGGAAUGGCGAUGGAUACUGGCGGGCUAGAGUGCGGUAGAGGAGAGUGGAAUUCCCGGUGUAGCAGUGAAAUGCGUAGAGAUGUGGAGGAACACCGAUGGCGAAGGCAGCCCCCUGGGCUAACACUGACGCUCAUGCACGAAAGCGUGGGGAGCAAACAGG